rfam:Pteropus alecto contig71319, whole genome shotgun sequence.
GUCUACAGCCAUGCCACCCUGAACAAGCCCGAUCCCGUCUGAUCUCGGAAGCUAAGCAGGGUUCGGCCUGGUUAGUAGUUGGAUGGGAGACCACCUAGGAAGACCAAGGUGCUGUAGGCA